UAGGGAAUCUUCGGCAAUGGACGAAAGUCUGACCGAGCAACGCCGCGUGAGUGAAGAAGGUUUUCGGAUCGUAAAACUCUUUUGUUAGUGAAGAACAAGGACGUUAGUAACUGAACGUCCCCUGACGGUAUCUAACCAGAAAGCCACGGCUAACUACGUGCCAGCAGCCGCGGUAAUACGUAGGUGGCAAGCGUUGUCCGGAUUUAUUGGGCGUAAAGCGAGCGCAGGCGGUUUCUUAAGUCUGAUGUGAAAGCCCCCGGCUCAACGGGGGAGGGUAAUUGGAAACGGGGAGACUUGAGUGCAGAAGAGGAGAGUGGAAUUCCAUGUGUAGCGGUGAAAUGCGUAGAUAUAUGGAGGAACACCAGUGGAGAAGGCGGCUCUCUGGUAUGUAACUGACGCUGAGGCUAGAAAGCGUGGGGAGCAAACAGG
rnacentral:rRNA from 1 species